UACGUAGGGUGCAAGCGUUGUCCGGAAUUAUUGGGCGUAAAGAGCUCGUAGGCGGUUUGUCGCGUCUGCUGUGAAAACUCGGGGCUUAACCCCGGGCCUGCAGUGGGUACGGGCAGACUAGAGUGCGGUAGGGGAGAUUGGAAUUCCUGGUGUAGCGGUGAAAUGCGUAGAUAUCAAGAGGAACACCUGGGGUGAAGACGGGUUGCUGGGCUGACACUGACGCUGAUGCGCGAAAGCCAGGGGAGCAAACGGG
rnacentral:rRNA from 1 species